CUCGGGUGUGAGGAAGGUCUUAGGUCGUAAAGCACUUUCGMCAGKGAUGAUAAUGACAGUACCUGGUAAAGAAACCCCGGCUAACUCCGUGCCAGCAGCCGCGGUAAUACGGAGGGGGUUAGCGUUGUUCGGAAUUACUGGSCGUAAAGCGUACGUAGGCGGAUYAGAAAGUUGGGGGUGAAAUCCCGGGGCUCAACCCCGGAACUGCCUCCAAAACUCCUGGUCUUGAGUUCGAGAGAGGUGAGUGGAAUUCCAAGUGUAGAGGUGAAAUUCGUAGAUAUUUGGAGGAACACCAGUGGCGAAGGCGGCUCACUGGCUCGAUACUGACGCUGAGGUACGAAAGUGUGGGGAGCAAACAGGAUUAGAUACCCUGGUAGUCCACACCGUAAACGAUGAAUGCCAGUCGUCGGGCWGUAUACUGUUCKGUGACACAGCUAACGAUUAAGCAUUCCGC
rnacentral:rRNA from 1 species